rnacentral:misc_RNA from 1 species
CGCACAUUGCACCCCUCGGUAUUCCGGGGGGUAUGCCUGUCCGAGCGUCAUUACAACCUUCAAGCAUUGCUUGGUAUUGGGCAUCCGCUCCCCGCAACUCCGGGUUGGGUGGGCCUGAAAUUUAGUGGCGGUCCGGCGCAGUCUGGGGCGAAGUAAAACAUCUCUCGCGCCUUGCAGCACUCGCGUCGCGUCCGGCCAGAAAGGUGGACCAGCCUCCGAGCGGGCCAUUGAACCCCAAAGAUUGACCUCGGAUCAGGUAGGGAUACCCGCUGAACUUAA